rnacentral:RNase_P_RNA from 1 species
ACGGCGGGUCGGGUUGUCGCACCGUGCCCAAAUGGCCGGUGAGGAAAGUCCGGGCUCCACAGAGCAUGGCACCGGGUAACACCCGGGCUCUACGCGUUGUCAUGACGCGCGGAGACAGAAAGUGCCACAGAAACCAUACCGCCCCGCCUCGGUGGGGUAAGGGUGAAAUGGUGGGGUAAGAGCCCACCGGCCGCGGGGUAACCCGCGGUGCAGCGGCAAACCUUGCCAGGAGCAAAGCCAAGCAGCGGACGAGUUGCUCGCUCAAUGUCCGUGGGUAGGCUGCGCAGAACACAGCGGCAACGCCGUGUCCAGAUAAAUGACAGCCCAGGAGAGGCUCCUGCGGGAGUUUCUCUGGACCGAACCCGGCUUACAGACCCGCCGUUCGU